rnacentral:ncRNA from 1 species
CCACGUCCCGACGCAAUCCCCCCCGGCGCCGGGACCUUCCCUGAGCCGGGCUGCGGCGCCCCUCCCCCCGGGCGCCGUAGCCCGGCUCUUUU